CAGAGGAGCGUCACAUGUUGUGAACUAUGAGACGAUCGUUUAUCAGUUUAAAAUGUUAAAUAAAAAUAAAAAAACUGGUGCUUUAAUAACCAAUUUCCUCUGUUCUCAGGCUGCCUCCUCAUAGAAGACAACUUCUCCAUGAGAUGUCCAGAGCACAAACUCAAAUCGUUCACGCCCAGGAGAGUCAGAAGGUGACGUUAAAGACGUGUGGAGGCUCCAGAGGUCGUACCAUUAGUCACUGUUACAGAAGAAAACAGACUGAUGAAGAUAAAAUCACAAAGUGCUGUACAAACAAAGGUGAAACUAAAACAACAACAGUAGCAACAACAACAACAUCCCAGAAGGAUAAUAAAACACAAGAGACUUUAAAACAACAGGAAGAACAUCAUAAAAAAAAAUAAUGAACAUCUCUUUACACAGCGAUAGAUGUAAUGUGACAAAUUAUUGCAACAAAACUCAUUUUUAUCUGCAGUCCUUAGAAAGGUUGCAAACAAAUAUGCAAAUAAGUAGGGCUGGGCGAUAUGGCCUUUUAUAAAUACCGCGAUAUUUUUAGGCCAUGUCACGAUACACGAUAUAUAUCUCGAUAUUUUGCAUUACCCUUGAAUUAACACUUUGAUGCACAAAUCACACCAGUAUGAUGAUUCUAUAUGUCUACAUUAAAACAUUCUUGAUCAUACUGCAUUAAUAUAUGCCAAUUUUAAACUUUCAUGCAAAAAAGGGGAUAUCACAACUAAGUCAAAGUUGACAUAACUGUAUUUAUUAAACAGUGAGUGGCUCAAACAUAAAAUUGUCAACAGAAAGUGCACGUUCUGUGCAAAAUUGUCACAGAGACAUUUCAAAACAAGACAUUAGUGCAGGAUGCAACUCACAUGGCAUUUCAAAACACAGAAUUAAAGUGCACUUUUUGUACAUAAUGCCACUACAAUAUUUUAAAACAAAUAGUGCCCUUUUGUGCAUGUUGUCAUUAAGAUGACAUUUCAAAAAAAAAAAAAAAAGUCCGCGAGUUUAACGGUAUGGUCAUUUUCAACACCGCACAGACUACAAGCUGCGAUAUAUCGAGUAUAUUCGAUAUAUCGCCCAGCCCUACAAAUAAGACAUGAAAUCACAAUAAAAACAUGUUUAAAAGGAAAAUAAAAGCCA
rnacentral:lncRNA from 1 species